UGUUAAAAGUUUCAUCCAUUUGUACUGUUAAAAACCGAAAUAACUGACAGAAUAACUAGAUAGUGACAUGUGUCAUGCCACGUGUACCUCAUGCUGACGUACGGUAACCAGUCUUUAAUAGUAGAAAUGGAUGAAAUUUUAACA
rfam:Gossypium hirsutum cultivar TM-1 chromosome 13, whole genome shotgun sequence